rnacentral:lncRNA from 1 species
GCAGUCGCCCUGCGCGCCUCCCCGCGAGGCUUGUUUUCUAGCGCCUCUGGUGGGCCGCCUCCCGCAGGCCUGGUGUGAGCCUGGGGUCCGUUCUCACAGCUGGAUCUGGGGUCUGAAUGCCGCGCCCUCUGGAGAGCCACAGAUGGGUCUCCGCUGAUGCUUCUCUCAAUUUCCUCUAAGAGCGAGAGCUCCGGGAAAGGAGCCGAUCCUGGUGGAAGACUACAGGUCUGAGUCCACUGGACGAAAAACGAGGCUCCUUGGAUUAGAGACCAUCCUGAGGACAUCCUUGGGAGCCAUGUGCUGAAGAUGGCCAAGCCACAGGAUGAAAGGAGCUGCAUCUUUGAGUCACCACUGGAGAAAGGUCUCUCUAAAUGGAUUUGCAGAGACGUCUUCUCGAAUACUCCCCUUCUAAGUUCCACUUGUAAUCCACUUCUUCUAUUCUCCCAGCAAUCAAUGUGGUUUGGGGAAAUUCCAGAAUCUCAUAAUACCUUGGUCAUGGGUAAAUAAGGAAAGGACCUUUACAUACAUGUGAUGCAAAGCAGAUCAAAACAAGCAGAGCAGCCUAAGAGCAGCAAGACCCCAAAGGAUAAGGGAAGUCCUGCAGAAGAGCAGAGCGGUGCUGCAAAGGCAGGCAGAGAUGAGGUUUCGCCAUGUUGACCAGGCUGGUCUCAAACUCCUGGACUCAAGUGAUCUGCCCACCUCGGCCUCCCAAAGUACUGGGAUUACAGGCAUGAGCCAAUGUGCCCGUCCUGAGGAGUUUUCUUCUGGAAUUCCUGCUGGGUUUUUGUAGUCAGUCCUCUCCCCAUUUCCCACAUUGGCUCUUGCAGACCUUCCUUUUCCCCAUUUCUAUUUGCUACCAUGUCAGACAUGACUUUUGCCAUAGGAUCUCUAUUCUACUAUAGAGGAAACCAAAGCCAUCAGUAGAAAUUUCACUAACAUGGAAUCAGAUUUAUAGAAGAAAGGGGGAGGAAAGUUUUGCCUUAACACCUGGAAGGGUUUCGUUUCUUUUAGUAGCUGGGAGACAGAAACAUAAGAAAGUAGCUUAGUAAGCUUUCUGCUGUUCAACUGAUGAUGUGUGAGCUGUCAGUAGUUCAAACUAGUCAUUAUCUUUAUGAAUUAAUUAUGUAAUAACUUAAACAAUGUCAUAAACCUUCAAAUCAG